CAGUCGCCACGGUAAUACGAAGGGUGCAAGCGUUACUCGGAAUUACUGGGCGUAAAGCGUGCGUAGGUGGUGGUUUAAGUCCGUUGUGAAAGCCCUGGGCUCAACCUGGGAAUUGCAGUGGAUACUGGGUCACUAGAGUGUGGUAGAGGAUAGUGGAAUUUCCGGUGUAGCAGUGAAAUGCGUAGAGAUCGGAAGGAACAUCUGUGGCGAAGGCGACUAUCUGGGCCAACACUGACACUGAGGCACGAAAGCGUGGGGAGCAAACAGGAUUAAAUACCCCAGUAGUCCCUGUCUCUUAUAC
rnacentral:rRNA from 1 species